rnacentral:rRNA from 1 species
UAGUAUGGGGAUCUGCCCGAUAGAGGGGGAUAACUACUGGAGACGGUGGCUAAUACCGCAUAAUGUCUACGGACCAAAGCAGGGGCUCUUCGGACCUUGCACUAUCGGAUGAACCCAUAUGGGAUUAGCUAGUAGGUGGGGUAAAGGCUCACCUAGGCGACGAUCUCUAGCUGGUCUGAGAGGAUGAUCAGCCACACUGGGACUGAGACACGGCCCAG